UAUUUGGAAUAAGUUUGAAAAGUAUUCAGUUCAUUUUUUAUAGAAUGGAGAAGACAGUCAUCUGGAGUUUGCUUUCAGUAAUUUGCAUUCAUGGAGCCUUUAGUGAGAUUAAAAUGGAACAGUCUUCCUUUGAGGUGAAGAGACCAGGAGAGACAGUUAAGAUGUCUUGUAUCAUGUCUGGUUUUGACAUGACAGAAUACUACAUUCACUGGAUACGACAGAAACCAGGGAAAGCUCUGGAGUGGAUUGGGAGGAUGGAUGCUGGUAAGAACGCCGCCAUCUAUGGAAGCUCCUUUGAAAGUCGUUUCAUCCUGACUGAAAAUGUCGGCAGCAGCACCCAGUACCUCGAGAUCAGGACUCUUAACAGCGGAAGAUUCUGCUGUGUCUUCAGUAUUGAUCUGAUCCAGCCAGACUCUAAGGUUGUCCAGCCUGGACAGUCUUUGACCAUCACCUGCCGGCCCUCUAGUUACUGUCUGACUGCUGCAUAUGCAACAGCUGAGCUUCGACCCUCUUCCACCCCAUCUUCACCAUCAGGCUUCAAGCUCAUUCCGACUCCCUUUAUCUCCUCAGGCUUCCACUCCACUACCAGUAUCAGGAUCCCGGGGAGAAGACUUUUCUAA